CACACAGUGUUAUUUUUGGCUGAUAAUGUAAUCAUAAUUUUAAGAAAAACCUGUGUUCAUCGAGAAAUAAAACCUCUAAAACAAAGUUCUGACUCAUGCCGCUGGUCGUUUUUUCAUUCUUUUUAUCAUUAUUUGCAAAAUAAGAGCAAAUAUUUGUCUAAUUUCUGGAGCUGCUGCCUCCUGGGGGGAUGGUCUGCAGCGGUCAGGACUAAAACUUGGACAGAACACCCGUACAUGGAACAUCCACACACACCUAAACGUCUCCAAAUAUGAAUGUUUUUGUCCACACAGAGACAUCUCAGCCGGAUACCUGUAACCAGCACCUGUGCCUUCAUGCAACAAUACCAAGGGACCACCCCACAGAAACAACACGAAAGUGACAAAAAAAAGUUGCAGUUCCACUCUCAUCCACUAGGGGGCUGGCACCAGAAGUGAGCAAAUCCUCAUAGACUCCCAUGUUAAAAAUGCUAACUUCACAGCAGAAAUGAACGUGUUUACAGCCUGGUUCAAAAGGACAUUUUAGAUUUAAUAGAUCUAGUUUACAUUCAUGAAAACUCUGAAGGGGGGUGAAUUAUUGUGACUCUUCUGUUUAAGUGGAAUUUAAAGAGCAAGUCACCCCCAAAUCAACUUUUUUUGGCUGAUAAUCUAUAUAAAUGUGUGUCUAAUCGUGCUGCAGACACAUGUGGUCAAUAAUUUGGCACUUCAAUGCAUCUUAGUUCAAAUUUAAAUAUUUUGCCUAAAACUGUCAGUGUUGCGCCAUCGUCAGGUAAAAACUCUGCACUGCAUUGGAAUUUAAAUCUGCCACCGCUAUUGGCUAAGAGGUAUGCUAUGAUGUAAACUGGUAUAUUAUGAUGUCACAAUGCCGUUGUGAGGCUGUGUGUGUGUGUGUGUGUGUAUUUGUUAGUGGCUCCGCCCUCUCGGUCUGCUAGGCAACAGCAUUUGUUGCAUUUUUCAAACAUGAAGAGAGAGUGAAGUAAGUUUCUUGUAGGGGUGACUUGCUCUUUAAUGAUUAGCAGAGGCUUUGGGGCUUUGCUGCUCCACUGCGGUCAAAGAUUUGUGAGGUUGCUGCUGCAGAGAGGUUUGCCAAGCUUCAGUAACUUCCCUUUAACAGCGGUAAUUGUGUGAUGAGAGAUCCGCGAAUUUGCUGAUUUAUCCUUGCAGAGGAAGCCCAGCGAGGCGGGCGCCUGGCUUAUCCUUCUCUCGGCCGGGAACAACUGCUACGCGCAGGUGGCACGAUCUCGUCUCCCAAAGGGGCUGCGACCCGCCACGCGGCCGCCUGGUUUCCAUGCCAGGCUGUCAUCGUGCUGCUUGCCUGUGGAGCUCUCUGAAGGCGAUUACAAACACACCACUGCACUUUGAGUUGAUUUUGGAGUGACUUUACCAAUUCCUGCAAAAUGCUACAAAAAUAUAGCCGAGUGAACCAGACCAAAAUCUUGCUUUGCAAAGUUUGGUCUAGGAGCGCUCCACUGGAACCUCUGCAGCUCCUAACAGCAUUCUGGCUGGCCCAUCACAGCUCUCUAGAGGGGUUUCAAAUGCAUAAAGAGCUGUGAUUGGUCCAUAAUGGUGGGCCAAUCAUAGUGCGCUAUCUGCUUAGUGAACAAAUCACAGGGCUUUAUCCGCUUUGUGGGCCAAUCAGGGCACUCUAUAUGCCUGGUGGGUGGGAUGAUGCAACAGAGUGAAACAAGAUGGCGACAGCUCGUUUGAAACAGCUUUUACAUCAGUGUUGGACGAUUAGAACUUGGGCUUCAUCAGAAUCAGGAGCAGAUAGAUGUAUUUAAGUGCUUUUUUUUUUUUUUUUUUUAGAAAAAAUGAUGUGUUUUCUCCUUCUUCAACUGUGGACUGCCUCAUUUACCGAUGGCUGUUGCGGAACCUCAGUAACAUGUGGAAGAUUCAUACGCAGCUCCUCCUCGUGCCAACCCCAACCCUAAGCUAAGCUGCCAAUCAGGAGCCAGUCAUACGCCUGCGACUGGGACGCAUCCUUAACUGAUGCGUAACUGACACCAAAUGCUGUCCAUUACAGUAAAGUUCAGGCUGAACAUCCAAAAGCAAUGCAAGUGUCGGUCAUGUAUCACUAACACAACGUGAGUUUUAUGCUAGUGAGCUCCAAAGAGAACUUGAGUAAACGUCUGCCGGUGCUGUCAGAGUUGGCCUCACCACAGCGAGCCCUAAAGAAAACAGCUUGUCCUCAAAUGAAAGACGAACAAGGAGGCUGCCACUCAUUCAGAAAAAACAACACCUCCUUCAUCUGAGGCUGCUGGGAGUGUCUCCGCCGGGAUCUUUCUGCAACCGCCGUGGAGCCUGCAGACACUGAUUUUGUUCUGUUGCACUAAAUCAAACACACACUGCGUCAACAUCGCCCACGUUAAACCCCAGCACAAGCCCCGCCGAAGCCACUUUCACCUCGCGUGGAGCAGAGCGCAGCUUCAAACCAUUCAUUACUGGAAAGCAAAGCCAUGAGUCACGCUGUGGGAACUGGAAAUGCACAGCAGCAGAACACUAGCACACUUGCAUUUGUGCAGGAGAAACUGAGGCGUACACUGAGGCGUACACCACACCCCUGCAGGAACAUCCUUUGUGUUUUUGGCAUCUCUGAUCUUUGGUGCAGAAGUACGAUGCGUGAACUCACAUGCACAGCUGGUCCAGGGUGUUUGUUUUAGCACCUAAACUCUCACAGCUCUUACGAAACAAGUCAGCAGCUGUGAGGCUAAACGCCGACUUGCCGAACUGCAGUAUUAAACAUUAUGAUGUCAUUCCCGUUCUCGGUAAUGUUCCACACGAGGACUAAUUGUUCUGUUUUGGUAGGCGGUGGAUGUGUUACACAACAGGUAGAGAUACUGUGUCACGACACAAGCCAGCACAGUCAGGGUGAAUCAUGUGGGAAGUAGUUAUGCAUGACACACAUACCAACACAGACCGGCUGCAUCUUUUUAUGAUGGUUAAGAUUUUUUCCACGCUGCAGCUAGAAGUCUUGACCUAAAUAUGUCUAAUAUUGAAACCAGAGUAUAAUAUUACUAUUUUCUAUUCUGAUGUCUGCCCUUGUACAAAGACAAGCAUGCACAAUCAGAGUUUCAGCUGGAGGAUUUUAGAAAUGUUUCUCCGCGUACACUUGACAUAUUUAGUAGAAUGGUUGUGGGGUCUGAAGGGGACAGAUGGUGUCCCCUCAGAGUCCAGAGAGUCCACAGUCCAGCUCCCUUUGGGUUUCGCAUCACAGCUCCAAACAGGAAGUGAAGACUGGUUUUAUCUCCUCAUGUCUGCUCCAUCAAACCCAGCAGAAACACUAACAAUCCCUAGUGGCACCAUCAAAGAUGAAUCUGACACAGACGAAUCCCUGGUGGUAACCAUGGUGACCCUGAUGAACCAUUCGCUGCAGUUAUAACAUUUCUGAUUGUCUUUGUUCUCUUUAGUCUUCUCAUCCAUUUUAUCAUCACUUUUGGAUGUUUUGUCUUAUUUUAGAUCAUUUCAGUGUUUACUUAGCAGUAAAUCUUUAUUUUGUAGUUUGCACAAUGACAAGACGUCUUAGACAACUUUAUUUCAGCAAAUUAAAGUCCAUCCUCACGUUUUUCCCAAUCAGUUUUGUCUGUGACGGAAUGAAUUUGGAGAUUUUGUGGUGGUUUGUUUGACAUAUUUGCCAUUGUCCUCAUUUAUCUGAGCAUCAGCAGCAGAGACGACGUCCACAUUUCUGCAGACGUCAGGUCGGCCAUGACGGCCCACUGAGGGCCUUUUUAUGUCGCUGCUCUACGGCGUGCACAAUCUGAAUAACCUGCCGAACCACUCUGAUGCAGCACAGGUGUGUGUAACACAAGCACUCAGCAUGAAACUGAGAUGGAACAUCAAAGCAGCUUCACGCGUAAACACCGCUUUAUGAUUUCAUUUUAGGAAGUUUCUUUUUACUAUUUGGAUCAACAACAAUCACGAUUGUUGGUUUGUGAGUUGGGAGCUGGCCGGAGAUCAAAUAAAAUCCUUUCCUCCUGAAAGGUUUGGUCAUGAUCUGUUAGCCAGUAUAUUUGUAAUCUCAUUACAUUCAAAACGCAAAUUCAGACUUCAGAAAUCUUUGCCACAUGUGACAUGACAUCAUUGUCAUUGCAUAUUGUUAUCCAUUAGUUUGUGGAGAGCUGCAGAACGAGCAGGAAGCCAAAGCGGGUUUAGUCCUGUUGAGACAGGUGAGCUACCCCACUGUGCAUUUACCUAGUCUGGACGUCCUACAGAGGUGGUCUGGACAAACGGACUCAAUAUAGACAUGUAACGUCCAGAAAGGGUCAAUUUUCACCUACACAUUGCAGCUAGAAGUCUUGACCUAAAUAUGUCUAAUAUUGAAACCAGAGUAUAAUAUUGCUAUUUUCUGUUCUGAUGUCAAAAACAAGCAUGCACAAUCAGAGUUUCAGCUGGAGGAUUUUAGAAAUGUUUCUCCGCGUGCCAUCACUCAUUCAUCUGUCUAAAACGUUUUUAUAUCUUGAACAUAAACCCUUCAGACCCCACAACCAUUCUACUAAAUAUGUCAAGUGUACAUGUGAGUCUUCCUCCACCUGCUGUGUAUCUCGCUGCUGUAGGACAGAUGGUGUCCCCUCAGGUCCCCUCAGAGCCCAGAGAGUCCACAGUCCAGCUCCCUUUGGGUUUCGCAUCACAUGUCACCCGUCGAGCAUGUUUGGGAUGUGCUUGACCGGCGUAUACGACAGCGUGUACCAGUUCCCACUAAUAUUCAACAACUUCGCACAGCCAUUGAAGAGGAGUGGAUCAACAUUCCCGGGGCCACAAUUGACAAUCUGAUCAACUCUAUGCGGAGAAGAUGUGUUGCACUGCAUGACGCAAAUGGUGGUCACACCAGAUACUGACCGGUUCUGAGUCUCCAGACCCCCAAUAAAGCAAAAAAACUGCA